rnacentral:rRNA from 1 species
AGAGUUUGAUCCUGGCUCAGGACGAACGCUGGCGGCGUGCCUAAUACAUGCAAGUAGAACGCUGAAGAGAGGAGCUUGCUCUUCUUGGAUGAGUUGCGAACGGGUGAGUAACGCGUAGGUAACCUGCCUUGUAGCGGGGGAUAACUAUUGGAAACGAUAGCUAAUACCGCAUAACAAUGGAUGACACAUGUCAUUUAUUUGAAAGGGGCAAUUGCUCCACUACAAGAUGGACCUGCGUUGUAUUAGCUAGUAGGUGAGGUAAUGGCUCACCUAGGCGACGAUACAUAGCCGACCUGAGAGGGUGAUCGGCCACACUGGGACUGAGACACGGCCCAGACUCCUACGGGAGGCAGCAGUAGGGAAUCUUCGGCAAUGGGGGCAACCCUGACCGAGCAACGCCGCGUGAGUGAAGAAGGUUUUCGGAUCGUAAAGCUCUGUUGUAAGUCAAGAACGGGUGUGAGAGUGGAAAGUUCACACUGUGACGGUAGCUUACCAGAAAGGGACGGCUAACUACGUGCCAGCAGCCGCGGUAAUACGUAGGUCCUGAGCGUUGUCCGGAUUUAUUGGGCGUAAAGCGAGCGCAGGCGGUUUGAUAAGUCUGAAGUUAAAGGCUGUGGCUCAACCAUAGUUCGCUUUGGAAACUGUCAAACUUGAGUGCAGAAGGGGAGAGUGGAAUUCCAUGUGUAGCGGUGAAAUGCGUAGAUAUAUGGAGGAACACCGGUGGCGAAAGCGGCUCUCUGGUCUGUAACUGACGCUGAGGCUCGAAAGCGUGGGGAGCGAACAGGAUUAGAUACCCUGGUAGUCCACGCCGUAAACGAUGAGUGCUAGGUGUUGGAUCCUUUCCGGGAUUCAGUGCCGCAGCUAACGCAUUAAGCACUCCGCCUGGGGAGUACGACCGCAAGGUUGAAACUCAAAGGAAUUGACGGGGGCCCGCACAAGCGGUGGAGCAUGUGGUUUAAUUCGAAGCAACGCGAAGAACCUUACCAGGUCUUGACAUCCCGAUGCUAUUUCUAGAGGUAGAAAGUUACUUCGGUACAUCGGUGACAGGUGGUGCAUGGUUGUCGUCAGCUCGUGUCGUGAGAUGUUGGGUUAAGUCCCGCAACGAGCGCAACCCUUAUUGUUAGUUGCCAUCAUUCAGUUGGGCACUCUAGCGAGACUGCCGGUAAUAAACCGGAGGAAGGUGGGGAUGACGUCAAAUCAUCAUGCCCCUUAUGACCUGGGCUACACACGUGCUACAAUGGUUGGUACAACGAGUUGCGAGUCGGUGACGGCGAGCUAAUCUCUUAAAGCCAAUCUCAGUUCGGAUUGUAGGCUGCAACUCGCCUACAUGAAGUCGGAAUCGCUAGUAAUCGCGGAUCAGCACGCCGCGGUGAAUACGUUCCCGGGCCUUGUACACACCGCCCGUCACACCACGAGAGUUUGUAGCACCCGAAGUCGGUGAGGUAACCUUUUGGAGCCAGCCGCCUAAGGUGGGACAGAUGAUUGGGGUGAAGUCGUAACAAGGUA